UUCCAGACUCCUACGGGAGGCAGCAGUGGGGAAUUUUGGACAAUGGGCGCAAGCCUGAUCCAGCUAUUCCGCGUGUGGGAUGACGGCCCUCGGGUUGUAAACCACUUUAGUAGAGAACGAAAAGGAGCUAUCGAAUAAAUAGCUCUGCUGACGGUACUCUAAGAAUAAGCACCGGCUAACUACGUGCCAGCAGCCGCGGUAAUACGUAGGGUGCGAGCGUUAUCCGGAUUUAUUGGGUUUAAAGGGUGCGUAGGCGGAAUGCCAAGUCAGCGGUAAAAUCGCGGGGCUCAACCUCGCUCCGCCGUUGAAACUGGCGUUCUUGAGUGGGCGAGAAGUAUGCGGAAUGCGUGGUGUAGCGGUGAAAUGCAUAGAUAUCACGCAGAACUCCGAUUGCGAAGGCAGCAUACCGGCGCCCAACUGACGCUGAAGCACGAAAGCGUGGGUAUCGAACAGGAUUAGAUAGCCUUGUA
rnacentral:rRNA from 1 species